rnacentral:tRNA from 1 species
GGGGGCGUGGCGGAAUGGUAGACGCUGCGGACUUAAAAUCCGUUGACCGUGAGGUUCGUGAGGGUUCAAGUCCCUCCGCCCCA